GCCUACCUCGCGGGAGGCGUGCAUUUAUCAGACCAAAAACCGGCCGCGUCUUCGGGCGCGUUCGCCUUGGUGACUCUGGAUAACUUUGCGGAUCGCACGGUCUAGCACCGGCGACGGAUCAUUCAAGUGUCUGCCCUAUCAACUUUCGUCGGUACGGUAUUUGCCUACCGAGGUUCUUACGGGUGACGGGGAAUCAGGGUUCGAUUCCGGAGAGGGAGCCUGAGAAACGGCUACCACAUCCAAGGAAGGCAGCAGGCGCGCAAAUUACCCAUUCCCGACGCGGGGAGGUAGUGACGAAAAAUAACAAUGCAGGACUCGUUCGAGGCCCUGUAAUUGGAAUGAGUACACUUUAAAAGCUUUAACGAGUAUCCAUUGGAGGGCAAGUCUGGUGCCAGCAGCCGCGGUAAUUCCAGCUCCAAAAGUAUAUAUUUAAGUUGUUGCGGUUAAAAAGCUCGUAGUUGGAUUUUGGGCGCAGGCGGCCGGUCCGUCGCAAGGCGUGUACUGGACGUCCUGGCCUUCCCUCCGGUUCUCCGCCGGUGCUCUUGACUGAGUGUCGGCGGCGGCCGGAACGUUUACUUUGAAAAAAUUAGAGUGUUCAAAGCAGGCUCUCGAGCCUGGAUAAUGGUGCAUGGAAUAAUGGAAUAGGACCUCGGUUCUAUUUUGUUGGGUUUCGGAGCGCGAGGUAAUGAUUAAGAGGGACAGACGGGGGCAUUCGUACUGUGCCGUUAGAGGGGAA
rnacentral:ncRNA from 1 species